UUAACGGAGAGUUUGAUCCUGGCUCAGGACGAACGCUGGCGGCGUGCCUAAUACAUGCAAGUCGAGCGGACAGAAGGGAGCUUGCUCCCGGACGUUAGCGGCGGACGGGUGAGUAACACGUGGGCAACCUGCCCCUUAGACUGGGAUAACUCCGGGAAACCGGAGCUAAUACCGGAUAAUCCCUUU
rnacentral:rRNA from 1 species